AACGAACGCUGGCGGCAGGCUUAACACAUGCAAGUCGAACGGGUGCAGCAAUGCAUCAGUGGCAGACGGGUGAGUAACACGUGGGAACCUUCCUAGGGGUACGGAACAACUCAGGGAAACUUGAGCUAAUACCGUAUGUGUCCGAGAGGAGAAAGAUUUAUCGCCCUUAGACGGGCCCGCGUCGGAUUAGAGAGUUGGUGGGGUAACGGCCUACCAAGGCGACGAUCCGUAGCUGAUCUUAGAGGAUGAUCAGCCACACUGGGACUGAGACACGGCCCAGACUCCUACGGGAGGCAGCAGUGGGGAAUCUUGGACAAUGGGCGCAAGCCUGAUCCAGCCAUGCCGCGUGAGUGAAGAAGGUCUUCGGAUUGUAAAGCUCUUUUGCCAGGGACGAUAAUGACGGUACCUGGAGAAUAAGCCCCGGCAAACUUCGUGCCAGCCGCCGCAGUAA
rnacentral:rRNA from 1 species